rnacentral:rRNA from 1 species
AUGGCUAAGAUCCGGGAGAGGAAGACGAGGGAUAUUGGCCAAGUCAAAUGCAUCAAGGACGGAGCAGGCCAACUCUUGGUGAAGGACGAAGAGAUUAAGCAUAGAUGGCGGGAGUACUUCGACAAGCUGUUCAAUGGGGAGAAUGAGAGUUCUACCAUUGAACUGAAUGACUCCUUUGAUGAGACCAGCAUGCGUUUUGUGCGGCGCAUCCAGGAGUCUGAGGUGAAGGAGGCUUUAAAAAGGAUGAAAGGAGGCAAGGCGAUGGGCCCUGAUUGUAUCCCCAUUGAGGUGUGGAAAGGUCUCGGGGACAUAGCGAUAGUAUGGCUAACCAAGCUUUUCAACCUCAUUUUUCGGGCAAACAAGAUGCUAGAAGAAUGGAGACGGAGUAUAUUAGUACCAAUCUUCAAGAACAAGGGGGAUGUUCAGAGUUGUACUAAUUACCGUGGAAUUAAGCUGAUGAGCCAUACAAUGAAGCUAUGGGAGAGAGUCAUUGAGCACCGCUUAAGAAGAAUGACAAGCGUGACCAAAAAUCAGUUUGGUUUCAUGCCUGGGAGGUCGACCAUGGAAGCCAUUUUCUUGGUACGACAACUUAUGGAGAGAUAUAGGGAGCAUAAGAAGGACUUGCAUAUGGUGUUCAUUGACUUGGAGAAGGCCUAUGAUAAGAUACCGCGGAAUGUCAUGUGGUGGGCCUUGGAGAAACACAAAGUCCCAGCAAAGUACAUUACCCUCAUCAAGGACAUGUACAAUAAUGUUGUGACAAGUGUUCGAACAAGUGAUGUCGACACCGAUGACUUCCCGAUUAAGAUAGGACUGCAUCAGGGGUUAGCUUUGAGCCCUUAUCUUUUUGCAUUGGUGAUGGAUGAGGUCACAAGGGGUAUACAAGGAGAUAUCCCAUGGUGUAUGCUCUUUGCGGAUGAUGUGGUGCUAGUUGACGAUAGUAGGACGGGGGUAAAUAGGAAGUUAGAGUUAUGGAGACAAACCUUGGAAUCAAAAGGGUUUAGGCUUAGUAGAACUAAAACCGAGUACAUGAUGUGCGGUUUCAGUACUACUAGCUGUGAGGAGGAGGAGGUUAGCCUUGAUGGCCAGGUGGUACCUCGGAAGGACACCUUUCGGUAUUUGGGGUCAAUGUUGCAGGAGGAUGGGGGUAUUGAUGAAGAUGUGAACCAUCGAAUCAAAGCCGGAUGGAUGAAGUGGUGCCAAGCUUCUGGCAUUCUCUGUGACAAGAGAGUGCCACAAAAGCUAAAAGAGAGAUUGAGUACCCAAAAGGUAGCAGAGAUAUGGCAAGUUCUACAGGACGGCGGUUCGACCCGCAAUGUUGUAUGGCGCGGAGUGUUGGCCGACUAA